rnacentral:rRNA from 1 species
AGUGGGGAAUUUUGGACAAUGGGGGCAACCCUGAUCCAGCAAUGCCGCGUGUGUGAAGAAGGCCUUCGGGUUGUAAAGCACUUUUGGCGGGAGCGAAAGGGCCUGGGCUAAUACCCCGGGUUGAUGACGGUACCCGCAGAAUAAGCACCGGCUAACUACGUGCCAGCAGCCGCGGUAAUACGUAGGGUGCAAGCGUUAAUCGGAAUUACUGGGCGUAAAGCGAGCGCAGGCGGUUGUGUAAGACAGAUGUGAAAUCCCCGGGCUCAACCUGGGAACUGCAUUUGUGACUGCACGGCUAGAGUGCGUCAGAGGGGGGUGGAACUCCACGUGUAGCAGUGAAAUGCGUAGAGAUGUGGAAGAACACCGAUGGCGAAGGCAGCCCCCUGGGAUGACACUGACGCUCAUGCUCGAAAGCGUGGGGAGCAAA